AGCCUUAUAGUCAAAUAAUGAUAUUAGACUGCAAUUCUAAAGGCGUGAGUAUACUUACUAAGGCUU
rnacentral:tRNA from 1 species